CCUACGGGAGGCAGCAGUGGGGAAUAUUGGACAAUGGGGGGAACCCUGAUCCAGCCAUGCCGCGUGUGUGAAGAAGGCCCUCGGGUUGUAAAGCACUUUCAGUGAGGAAGAACGCCUGGUGGUUAAUACCCAUCAGGAAAGACAUCACUCACAGAAGAAGCACCGGCUAACUCCGUGCCAGCAGCCGCGGUAAUACGGAGGGUGCGAGCGUUAAUCGGAAUUACUGGGCGUAAAGCGCGCAUAGGUGGCUUGAUAAGCCGGUUGUGAAAGCCCCGGGCUCAACCUGGGAACGGCAUCCGGAACUGUCAAGCUAGAGUGCAGGAGAGGAAGGUAGAAUUCCCGGUGUAGCGGUGAAAUGCGUAGAGAUCGGGAGGAAUACCAGUGGCGAAGGCGGCCUUCUGGACUGACACUGACACUGAGGUGCGAUAGCGUGGGUAGCAAACAGGAUUAGAUACCCUGGUAGUC
rnacentral:rRNA from 1 species